GGAGUUGUAGCUAAGUGGUAGAGUGCUUGCCUCCCAUGCAUGAGGUACUGGGUUUGAUUCUUAGCACUGCA
rnacentral:tRNA from 1 species